GUGUAAUAAGAAUGUGUUCAUGUAUGCUCCAUAUAUGAGCCCUGUGAUGGGAAUAUGUGAAAUCUCAGGCUGAGUAAGAAGCCUAUUUUGUGGGUUCUGAUAGCAUCCCAACAUGCUCCUUCCUCAGCAAACUAGUCAAAGGACUCUCCUUCCCUACAGGUGACCAGCCAAUUAGUCCUCGACAUGGCCAACAACGCAUUUGAUGAUCAGUAUGAGGGCUGUAUCGAAGCAAUGGAGGAAAAGGCACCCCAGCUGUUAAAAGAAGAGCUAAGCAUGAAUGAAAAAUUUAAGAAUGAAUGGGAAAAUGCUAAGAAAAAAUGGAAGCAAAUAAAGUCCAACAUAAACUAUUCAGAAAAUUUCAAUGAUUUCCAUGGAACUGCUAUAGUGGCCUACACUGGGAAAAUUGCAAAAGAUUUUAACCAAGCUGUAAGAGAAUUCAGACUAAAUUCAAGUGACUUUCAGUACAAGGCCUUCCAUUAUUAUCUGACAAGAGCUCUUCAGCUUCUGAGGACAUCCCAGUGUAACCAAGUUUUUAGAGGCUCUCAUACCAAGUUUUAUUACAGUGGGGCCGGUAGUGUACGAUUUGGGCAAUUCACUUCAUCAUCUUUGAAUAGAAAUGUAGCUGUUUCUCCAAGAUUUCUUGGUGCUGAUGGGACAUUGUUUAUCAUCAGAACCUGUUUGGGUGUUAAUAUCAAAGCAUUCUCUCUCUACCCUCAAGAAGAGGAAGUGUUAAUACCAGGGUAUGAAGUAUAUCAAAAGGUCACAGUAAAACAAACUGGUAAAAAUCACAAUGAAAUUUCCCUCGAAGCUCCCCAAAAACGAAAGAGUAACUUCAAUUGCUUUAAUUCUACUCCAAUUCACAGCAAAUCAGACAUCAAUUUCAACAGUUCAGGUGAGUCUGGGUCUGCAUUGGAGGUGGGGUUUGUGGGGUCAUCAUGAAACAGAAGAGGGUGCUCCCCUGCAGAAACCCCCACAGCAGAGAACAAUGGGCAUCCAGUCCAUUGCUGAAGAGUCUCAGGUUCCUAAAAGGACAGGACUACUGUUUUGGAGUGGAGAACAGAGCUCAGGCUCAUAGACAUGAGGCCAUUUCUAGUCCAGCCAAACUCCAGUUUCCCCUGCUGUGCAGAAAGGUCAGAAAGUCUUGUGGGACACCAGGUAGAAUGAACCAAGGAAUGUACUGGUGUGUCAGGGGCCAGCCAUAUCAAAGCAUCAGAGGAAUUGGGAGGCUUGCUGGUUCCAGACAGAAGGGCGUGGCUGCUGCAGAAUCCAGGCAAGAGAUGAAGGUGCCUGAACUGAGUGAGUGGCUGUGGUGCUGGAGGCGCCUGGGUUCUAGGUCUGUCUAUAAGCUAUCUCUUCCUGGGAGGGAAGACAGUGAGAGGUGGACAAGCUGAGGGGUGCAGUCAGAAAAGAGGAUGGGGGACCUUGAGAUUUCAAGUGUGAAGUGUUAACUGUUAAUCAGGUUCCAGGACAUUUCCACAAAAGUAAUUGGCUAGAUUGAAGAGCAAGAUGGAUAGCACUGGAUUGAGGAGUUGAAGAACUGAAGAUUUUGCACUGAGAACAACUCAGCCCUAGUGUAUAGGGAAUGAGCCUAGGACACUCACAGGACUAAAGAAAGAGAGGCAGAUAGAUUGGGGCACUCAUUGAUGAAAGCGUUGGUGCUGGACAACAGCAAGACCAGAUUGGAUCUGAGCAGUUUCAGUCAGAAAAAGGAGGAUAUAUAUGGAUGAGGACAAAAGUGACUAUCCUGCCAGGUGUGGUGUCACACUCCCGUAAUCUCAGUUACUCAGGAGGCCGAGGCAAGGGGAUUGCAAUUUGGAGACCAGCCUGGGUAAUUUAGCAAGAUACUUUCUCAAGAUAAAAAAUAAAAAGGGCUGGGAUGGAGCUCAGUAGCAGAGCACCCGUAGGUUAAAUUCCCAGUCCUCCACUAAUGCCCUCCCAAAGUGACUUCAUCCUGGAUGUAAUGUACUUGGUUUAUCUUAAGUUAAUAGCAAAGUGUUAGGAACUUCCCUGGAGCCAGGAGCCAGUUGUAAAUUUCCACAAACCGCUCUAAUGACUCUGUCUACAUAUAGUUUGCUGAGAAACUAUGUAAAAAAACUAAGCUUACCUUGGAGCAAUCAUGGCAGUUACAACUCAAGAUGGCUGCAGUCAUGUCAAGUUAAAUCAAUACAAGUGGUCCACAUGGUAGACCACAUGUAGAGGGACAGUGCCUGGAAUGAUGAAGGUAGAGUUGGUAAAAUCAGGAGAUAGGAACCUCAAAGAAGACAUACCAAUAAUGGUUGAAACUGGUUACAAAGAACACCAAGAAAGCUGUCACCACUCCCAGCCUCGAGAUGCAUAAGAAGAGCCACCAUGAGCACUUUCCCCAUCUUUUCCCAAGUGGUCCUGGCUUUUAGAUCUCUAUGCAUUUACACCAAUCAUUUCUUGUGGCCUGCAGUCUCUCUUCUUUGACUACAUAUCAUAUUUGAUCCAAGCUAAGACACCAUCAAUUUCAACAUGGUGAUUGUCUUCCAAGACCUAGUUCCAAUAUCACUUCCAAUAAUAAGCCUUCCUUGAUACUUUCAAGGAAAAUUAAAUCCUACACCAUUCUCUAUGGCAUAGGUUUGGACUCAGACCACCUCAAUGAUAAUCUGGCUCAGCAGCACUAGUUUUAUGACUUCAAGCAAGUUGCCUAAGUAAUCUGUCUCUGAAUUUCCUCAUUUAAUGAUGGGAUACAAAUAACAAACACUUGAGUAGUAUCACUGUGAGAAUGAUAAGAUUUUUAAGAUUUAUUGCUUGGCACAUAGUUUUGCUCAACAAAUACCUCCUUUUUUUUCUCGUGGAGAAUCUUGUCCACAUCUCAGCCAUUUUGCCUCAUAAUGGAGUAUGACUUACCAUUUAUAUGAUAAUCUCUUGCUUAUAGCCUGGAGACUUUGUCCCUCCUAUUUACCUGCAUUCAAGAUCUGCCAUGGGCUUGACUUGAAUCAGGGUUCCAACAUAUAUUGAUGCAGUAAGUUACUUUUUAUUGAGAGGCCAGGGGUCCAACCAGAAGUGGAUCUGGGCUGCAGAGGGACUAAGCAUCCAAGAAAUUUAAACCAAAUUUGCUCUUACAUUCUGGAAAUCCCUUCAAAAACCAAAAAGAUGUCCUUGCAGUUUCUCUCUCCUUGGUAUUUAUUUUUUUUUCUUUUUACCAUUUUUAUUGGUACAUUAUAAUUUACAUAAUAAUGAGAUUCAUUACACCACAUUUGUACAUGUGAGUUACAUAAUUUGUUCACUUUCCUUCCCUGGUACCUCUCCAUUUCCUCCCCUCCUCCCUCCCCCUAAUCACUUUCUCCCUGGUAUUUCUCCUCUCUCCCCCUAAUCACUUUCUCCCUGGUAUUUCUGACUACUUCAGGAAUCCUGGGAAAAUAAGAGGAGAGGCUAGUCAGGUUAAGUGAGUGCCUAGAGCCCACCUUCUAGGGUUUUGACAUGUAGGUGAAGCUCUGAAAGUUAGGAGGCUAUGUCUUGAGAAACUCCACACUGAAACCUUUCCUUCUCUCCCUCCCAUAGGCCCUGUGUUCCUGCUGCUGCUGCUACUGCUGCUUGCUGAGCCAUAGCCCUUGGCCUGAAGUUUCUCUUCCUUGACUACAUAUCAGAUUUGUGAGCAGGAUGUUGGAGGAAGGACAAGGAUCAGAGACUUGACUGGGUUCUCCAAUGUCAGCAGUAUUGGGAAGGGUAGGAUCUUUUUUUGUAGUCCGCUUUAGUGCUUGUGUCCCUCACAGAUAUAUGAGGAAAUUACUAAAUCCCACUAUAAAAGUGAGCAUACGGUCUUCAAAUUUACUGCCUGAGAUAAGUUCCUGGUGUCUUGACACUUUGCUAUGGUUACAAAUCAAUAUUUGCAUGCACCGUCAGCAGUGACAAUCUCUUUAAAAUGCAAUUUGUGAUUAAUGUUAUAAUCUAAAGAAAUAAACCAUUCAUAAUCACACCUUGCUUUUCUGUGACUAGGUUUCUCUAUAGAUUGUAUUAUGCUCAAGAAACUCUCUUAAGGCAUUAGAUCUGAUGCCAGAAUUUUUACAGCUGAGAAAAUUCAUAUUGCAUAUUUUUAUAGAUAUGUUUGUGGGACUGAUUGACUGAGCCAUAAAUAUGAGGGUUGUCCUAGAUAAAUUCCUCUCUCUACACUACUCCGCCAAAAAUGCAUGCAGUUACCAAGCCCUGUCAAUUAACUUUAAUAAUCGUUCUCAAAUCUAUUCCUUGCCUCUUGCCUACUCUGAUCAUCUUUGAGAAAAUGGAAAAGCCUGUUGUGAGGUGUGGAUGGAGCGCAAAAUCUAGGCAAUGUCCUAGCCAAGAGUGGGUCUAGCUAAGAUGCACAGAGCUUCUCUCACUCCUCAUUCCCCACUCUCCAUGCCUGAAAGACUGCACUGCCAUUGCCUACCAGCUACUGAGAUAAACUAUGAAGACAUGGUAAGUAAUUCCAAAUAGUAUAAUGGUGCAAUAAAAUCAAAAUCAUUGGAGAGAAUAAAGAGGUAAGAAAAUACUCAGGCAAACACAGGAACAAGGUAUAUGGCAGGGAUGGCCUUACAAAUCACGGGAGGAAACAUGAGGGUGUGAAUGGAGUUAGGACAGCUAAUUGUCUACAUAAAAAAAAAUGAAAGAAAAGAAAUAAGAAAUUGGAUUGGACCCCUACAUUGCAUAGAAAGCCAUUGUUUUGGACUUAGCUGCUUCAUGAGGCCCAAUAGACCAGAUCAAGCCAGAAUGGAGUCACUUUUGCUGGAUGCCUUAUAAUCAAAAUGAACUUUGAAAGGCACCAGUUUUCUGACAUCUAGGAGAUUCACAGUAACCAGUCAGAAGGCGCCCAAGUUACCUGACCUAGCAUGAUGAGGAACUGUCCACUUUUUUAAUUCUAUAAAGAAAGUACCUUCAAAUAACCAAUAUACUUUUUGUUCCCUAUUUAUGCUUUCUUUAGCUCUUUCCUGCCUGUAAAACCAACCCCCUCUGCUGUUCAGCUGAUUAGGAUAUCUUUUAUUUUUUUGGUACUCGGAGCUUGAACUCAAGGGAUCUCUACCACUGAGCCACAUCCUCAGCCCACUCCUCGCUUUUUUUUUUUUGUACUUUUUUAUAAGACAGAGUCUCACUAAGUUGAGGCUAAGGCCUUGAACUUGUGAUCCUCCUGCUUCAACCUUCCUAGUCUUUGGGAUUACAGGCAUAAGGAUUGUGCCCAGCUCAGAAUAUCCAUUCUCUUUUGUAGAAUGAGAUGUUGCCUGAUUUCAGUAAAAGCUAAUUUGUUUUUUAAACUAAAUCUGUUAUUAUUUUUUCAACAUACCAUCCGUGAAAGUAAUCCUAAGGAAUGUAAAGAUCUAAAUGUUAGAAUAAACCUCCGAAACUCUUAUAAAAAUAUAAAAGAAUAUUGGGCUGGGGCUGGGGCUCAGUGGCAGACCACUUGCCUAGCAUGUGUGAGGUACUGGGUUCCAUCCUUAGCACCGUGUACAAAAAUAAAUAAAAUAAAGGCAUGCUGUCCAUCUACAACUACAAAACAUUUUUUUAAAUAUAUAGAAGAAUAUUUGUUUUAACAUGAGAGCAAAAGGAAAAAAAGAUUUAUUUCCCCUCCAUGCCUAAGAUCCUGGGAUCUUAUUACUUCUGCCAAGAAUGACGUCAUCACUUUUAUAAUAUCUCAUUGAUCAAAGCAAGUCACACAGCCAUCUUCAACUUGAAGAAGGGCUUUCCAGGCACCCGGAAAGAGAAGAGAGGAGGAAAAUUUGUAAUAAAACCCGUUGUUUGGGGAAGUAUAUCUUAAGACCAAAAAACAAAAUAAAGAGAAACACAAAUAAAUUUGACAUAGUAAUAACAAGAUGAAUAGCCAAAAUUUUUUGGGUACUUACUGAGUUAUCGGGCACUUAUUCAAAGCAUUUUACAUAUUUAUUCAUUUAAUCUUCACAAUAACCUCAUGAGGUAAGCUCGACUCUUUCCCAUUUAUACCAUCGAGGCUCUGAGGAGUUAUGUAACUAAUUGUCAAAAUAAACAAAAUAGACAUAAGAAGCAAGGAAAUAGAACCUAAACUAUGGCAGGUCAGGUCAGGGGUGUUGAAGGGCUAGGAGGGGUUAUGCUAAGUAAGCAGCAAAAGCUGGGCUUCCAGAUAAGAUAGAGCUCAUGGGUCUGCACUUCAUUGGUUAAAAGAAAUCCUAUUGUUUUUAAUUCAGGAAGGAGUGCCUAAUUAUCAUUUGGCCUACAGGGGUCAUUAAAAGUUCAUGAUUCUUCAUCAACUUUAGCAGGAAAAAACAGGUGUGAUGAAAAAAAUGUUGGGUUUUAGAUAAGUCCCAGGCGAAUGCUUUCUGUAGGUCAAAACUUCUCUUACACUGUGAGGAAAAUAAGUCAAAAUCAAACACAUAAACUUCUGAAUAACAAAAGACGCCAGAAUCAAAAAGCAAGAAGGAGGCUGGGAAAGGAUCUUUGUGAGAUUUAUAACAUGUAAAGAAUGUCUGCAAAAUAGAAAAAUUAGAAUAAUAUAUGAACAGACAAUUUACCGAAGAGAAAAAUCAACCUUUUUUUUUUUAAUGCCAAUUGCGAUUGAAACACAAAUCAAGGCAACCAUGACAUAUUACUUCAACUCUUCAACUUUAACAUGGGCUACUCGAUCUUAUCAAGCUGUUGCAAUUUAAGCAAAGUCUUCUAGCUUUUGUCAAAUCGAAACUCUUGAGAAUUGACAGACUUUCUGAAAUAUAGGGAUUUAUUGAGGCUUUACAAAUGCUAAACAGAAAAAAAAAAAAAAGACCAGUUCUGGGAAAAGUUCCUAAAACCAUUGGCAAUAGGCCCGGGCAGCAAUUGGAAACAUGUCCACUGGACCUAGAGCUUAGAGUAUCUUUGUAUAAACUCUGAGGAAGGAAAGUCUAAGUAGUUUACAUUGACCUUCAUUGGCUCUGGAAUGCAGGAUAAGGCUAUGGGACAGGAGGAUUGUUCAUAAGUAGAAGCACCUGCUUCUGGAGUAGUUGGGGUUAAACAUCUGGAGGGUUUGUAAAUCAACAGGGUUUGGUGGCCCUGGUGGUCAGCCAUGAAGGGAUUGAAGCUUUCAACAUAAACAGUCUUUUUGGUUCUUUGCCAGCAGCUGUUAACUGAUUACCUACUUUGUCUUAUUUCUUCCCUUUUCUAUUCUCUGGCCCUUGUGAUUAAUCUCAGAAUUUUUCUUUUAUCACUUUUAAUCUGCAUAAGUUUCUGUGUCUCUGUUCUCAUGUUUUCCUUACAUUGUUUAUUUAAUAUCCAGAUGAGAAGGGUUUUUAUUUUUUGCGACUAGGGAGUGAACACAGGAUUUUUUGAGACAGGGUCUCACUAAAUUGCUGAGGUUGACCUACAACUUGUAAUCCUUCUGCCUCAAGCUCCAGAGUUGCUGGGAUAUCAGGUGCUCACCACCAUACCUGGCCAGUAAGAAAGGUUUUGAUGCAUCCUUUAAGUCUGCCACCUAUGAAACAUAUAAACAGUAUUGCAACCUUAGCAAUUAUUUCCACAUCAGUGAGAUAUUUUGUAUGACUUUUGUUCAAUUCAAGAAUGCAAACCGGGCAUGGUGGCACAUGUCUAUAAUUCCAGGGACUUGGGAGGCUGAGGAGGAGGAUCAUAAGUUCAAGGCCAGCCUGGGCACGUUGGGGAGACCCUGUCUCAAAAUAAAAAAUAAAAAGGGCUGGGGAUAUAGCUCAUUGGUAGAGUACCCCUGAGUUCAAUCUGUAGUAUCAAAGAGAGAGAGAGAGAGAGAGAGAGAGAGAGAGAGAGAGAGAGAGAGAAAGAGAGUGUAUAAAGGCACAUUCUGUAUUUCACACAUUGUUGAAAGAGUGGGGUAAGACCAGUAAGACCAGGCAUGGUGGUGCAGCUCUGUAAUCCUACCAACUUGGGAUGCUGAAGAGAAGAAUCCCAAGUUCAAGGUCAGACUCAGCAAUUUAGUGAGACCCUCAACAAUUUAGCAAGACUGUCUCAAAAUAAAAAGGGAUGGGAAUGUAGUGGUAAAGCACCCCUGGGUUCAAUUUCCAGUACCACAAAAAAAGAAAACUGAAAGGUUGGAGAGUGGGGAAGGUUUUUAACAAGUAAUAGAUUAUGAAUUAAAACCUGAGAGUUUAUCUAACUUUUUGUUCCCUGAUCUGGUCCCUGAUUAUCUCAGUUACAUGAACUUUAAAGUCAGAAUGAAAAAAACUCAUGAAUACAUUGGGGCUCAUUCAGUAGGAGGGCUACAGCAAAGUGGAAAAAAUCUUUUUUGUAGGAUUCUGAUGUAAUCACAUUCUUAGCCUUAGGGUUGAUGAAGGCCAGAGGUCAGUGAUAUAUACCAAGUGUUUUAUCUGGUAGUUACAAGGAUAUAAGGUCAGAUACAGAGAUGGGUAGUAAAUGAUUAUUAACAGGAACUAUAGAUAGCCCAAGAUAACUCUGGCUCUCCAUCUGUAACAUUCCAUCUCUCCAGAACCAUGAUAUUCUUGUCAGCCACAGUCCAACAGUCUGCAGGUCCUUCAACAUAACUGAGGCUUCUUCAGAGAACUUCAAUUCACAGCUUUUAGUUAGUGUGACCUUGAAAUCCAAGCCUGUGGCGAUGUCUGACUUCUACUCUAGCCCUUCCAAACAUUGUAUUGAAUUGUAUUUCAAUUCCCUGUAUUGAAUCCCUUUCUGUCUGAGGUGCCUAGAGUGCUUCUGUUUCUUUCAUAGAAUCCUAACUGAUGCAACUGGGCUCCCUGCUUCUGCUCUUGCCCACCAGAGUAGCCCCAUGAACUCAAGACACAAUAUGCAAUUUCUUUGCUCAAAUCUGUGAAUGGCUAAAAGCCAAAGUCCUUCCAAUGCCUUAAAAAGACCACAUCCAAAUUUGGUAUUCCAUAAACAUUCUGAUCUCCUCUUCCACUGCUCUCCAAAUUGCUUGCUCUGCUCCAGCUACGCUGAUCUCCUUAUAAUUCUCUACUGUGCAGGCACUCAUUGGCCUCAAGGCCUUUGUUUUGUGUUCCUGCUCCCUGGCACUUUCCCUAGAUAUCUGACCAACUUACAAAGCUUAUUUCAAGUCUUUACUCAAAGACCCCCUUCUCAGUGAGAUGUCCCAUGUCUGUGUAUGAUUAGAUUACUACCCUCCUGCACACCAUCCCCCUUUCCUGCUCUUCUUUAGCACUUUGCAGUCUAAAACAUCACGCAUACAUUUCUGACCCUAUUGCAUAUUGCCCCCUCCACAUUGUUGAUCCUAUAAGGUUUUUGUCACUAUAGCAUUUACUACCUUCAAUGCUAUAAAUGUCUCCCAGACUCUGGAAUCUGAACUUCACAAGGACAAGGAUGUUUGUAUGCUACUUCAUUGGUAUACCCCAAGCACUCAGAACAGUGCCUGGCAGGUAGUAGGAGCUUAGGAAAUCUUUAUUGAAUAAAGAAAUUGUCUCCAUUCUGUGAAUGAGAAAACUAAGACUUAGAAGAACAUGUUUCUUCAAUGUACCAGCCCCAAAGAGGCAGAUCUGGAGUUACCCUGAGACUGAGAGCUGCAUUAUUUAAAAAAAAUAUAUAUUUUACUAUUUUUAAAAGAUAUUUUAAAUACUUCAAUAUAAUUUUAAAAUAUUUUAUUAAAGCAUGGCCUACAUACAGAAAAGUGCACAAAUCAUAUAUGUUCCACUUGAUGGAUUUUCAGAAAAUGAUCACACCUGUGUAACUAUCACUCUGAAAAAGAAACAGAACAUUACUAGUGAUCCAGAAUCUCCUGGGACCCCCUACUCUGGGGGCAUUAGAAAAGUAACUACUACUCUAACUUUCAAUUAAUUAAGUGUUCAAUUAGUUAGAGAUUAAUUUUGCCUGAUUUAAAACUGUAUAUAAAUGGAGUUGUAUGGAAUAUAUUCUUGUGUUUUGGUUCAUUCACUAAAAAUUACACUUGUGAGACUCAUAUUUUCACAUAUAGCUGUAUUUUAUUCAUUUUUAUUGCUUUAUUAUAUUCCUCUGUGAAUAUGUGAAAAUUUAGUUACCCAUUCUAUUGGUGAUGGGCCUUUUGUUCUUUCUAAACUUUGGCCAUUAGGAAUAAUGUUGUACGUAUAAUGAACAUGUUGUAUAUAUUGCACACAUGUGAACACAUUGUUAUACAUGUCACUCAUUUUUGUUGAGUAUAUACUUAGGAGUAGGAUUGCUGAGGACAUGUUAUUUAUAGAGUUGUCCCUAUGUAUCUCUGGAGGAUUAGUUCUCCCCACCACACCAACAUCUGCAGAUGCUCAAGUCCCUUGCAUGAAAUGAUGUAUAAUGGGUAUAUAACCUAUUCACAACCUCUUGCAUCCUUUAAAUCAUCCCUACAUUACUUAUAAUACUUAAUUCAAUGCAAGAUGGGAACAGUAGUUAUACUGUAUUAUUUAGGGGAUAAUGACAAGAAAAAAAAGUCCAUGUAUGUUCAGUACAGUUGCAGUUUUUUAUGAAUAUUCUCAAUUUGCUUGUUGGUUGAAUCAAUGGAUGUAGACCUUGUUAUAUAAACAGAGGGCCCUAGGCUGAGGAUGCAACUCAGUGGUAGAGUGUCUGCCUGGCAUGCACGAGGCCCUGAGUUUGAUCUCCAGCACCACAAUACAAACCAACAAACAGAAGAAAAGAAAAGAGGGCCCACUGUAUACAUAAUGUUCAAUUUUAGUAGAUCCUGUCAAAUAAUUCUCCAUACCCUCUCUGGACCUCAAUUGAGAAGCAAGUUAUUUAUCCCUGUGUUUAAGAGUAAGAGAUUCAUAACAAGCUAUAAUGGUGGGGUACACGCUCUCACAGUGAUAACACAGGUGGCAAUACUGGAAGCCUUGGCACCUGUGUGAUGAUUAACUUCAUGCUUCGAUAUGAUUGGCCAAGACGAUGCCCAGAGAGCUGGAAAAGCAAUAUUUCUGGGUUUAUCAGUGAGGUAUUUCUUGAAGAGAUUAACAUUGACUCAGUAGAUGGGUAAAGGAGAUCUGUCCUUACCAUUACAGGUGGACACCAAAGGCAAACUCUUCCCCCCUCCUUAAGCUGGGCCAUCCAUCAUUUCCUGUCCUUGGCUGUAGAAGCUAUUGAUUCUCAGGCCUUCAGACUUAGGAACUUAAAUUAACCCCCAUUGUCCUAAAAAAUUUUCUCUCUGGCCCUUAGGCCUUUGACCUCGGGCUGGGAGUUAUACCAUCAGCUUCCCUGUUUUCAGGCCUUUAGAUUCAGACUGAAUUGUACCACCUGCUCUCUCAGGUCUCCAGGCAGAGCAUGGGACUUCUCAGCCUCUACAAUUGGAUGAACUGAUUCCCAUAAUGAAUCUAUGGAUUCUAUUUUCUGGAGAACCCUAGUUAAUAUAACCUGUGAGCCAUUUUUGGGAAGACUUGAUAAGGUGCCUUCCAAUGGAGUUCCAGAGAUGUAUUCCUUUGACAAACACAGGAUCUCCGUCAACAGUUUUUUUUUUUUCCCCAUUACUCUGUCUAUAGAGGUCAGUUGGUAGGUUGCACCUAGAAUAGAAUGUUUUGAUGCACACAUCAUUCAUGCUUUGAAAUGAAACAACAUUAUCUGGCCUACAAAUGCUCUGCCAACGAGUGGCCAUGGAGAGUAACUAGAAAUGGUAUAGACACUUUGCAGCUGGAUCAUUUGGGGAAAGUCCUGAUCUUUCUUUUGUAGUAGAUGCCACGGUAUAAGAGCUAUGAGAUGGGUACCUGGCCAUUCCAGUCCAGUUUCUGUACAACCCUAUCCAAUUUAUCUUUUUUAGAAUUCCAUUUUGAAGUUUCUCUAUCUUCUCUGAUUCUAAGUAAUGUGAGCCGCAAAACAUUUAUGAAUCAAUAAGGCUUUACAACUAUUAAUAGACAAAGGUAAUCCAAGUUUAAAAAUAAAUCUUUAGAAACUCUUGGCCAAAAGACAUAGUAUCAUUUUGGUGCCCUAGAUUCAGUUUCUGGUGAAGGCCUCCUUGCUGGCUUACAGGUAGCCAUCAUUUUGCUGUAUCCUAUAUGGUAGAAGGAGCUCUCCAGGGUCCCUUUUAUAAGGACAUUAAUUCCGUUUGUGAGGGCUCUCCCCUUGUGAUCUAAUCACCUACCAAAGUCCAACUAUCUAAUACCAUCACACUGUGGGUUACAUUUUUAACAUGAAUUUGAGCAAACACAAAUAUUUUGCCUACAGCAAGUAGUGAGAGGAAAUAUUGGGUUUUUUAUUUGUUUAUUUUUAAAACAAUUUUCUAUAGUCUGGAAGUACUCAAAAACAUAGUGAGAACUGAUACAAAUACAAACAGACUUUUGAGAAGUGAGACUACAGAUUCAGAAGAAGCAACGUGUUUGCUACCUGAGUCAAAAAUAAAGAAUUUUUGCUACAUGUGUUAACAGCAGACAGCAUCACCCAAGAUCUUUGUUUUUUAAGUCAUUAACUUUAAUGUACCUUGUAUCAAAACCUCAUGCUCAAUACACAAAAGAAUGUCUAUCAAACACAUUCUCUCAGCCUCACUGACCAUUCCAGAUACUGCAGAAGUGAAAGGUCCACCCUGGUUCCUGUGGAUGCCCUUCUCUUCAGGGGCUUCCUGCCUCUAGUCAUCCCUAAUACAGAGACAUGAGGAGACUCCACUUUGCAAUUACACCUGUGCAAUCCAGGAAUGUGGGGAAGACAAAGUUCCAAGAGGAACUCCUCUCAACCAGUGGAGGACAGGAGUCAAGGAUAAGUAAUUCUUGUUUGCCCCCCAGACAGAUGGUUCUGAGUCUCAAUUCAGAAGGCCACCACAGUGCCCAGUGGCAAUAUGUUUAAAUGAAAAUAUCUAGUUUUUAAAAAUAUCAUGGAUAAGAUCAAGCACAUUACAAAGUCACAUUAUGGAUGCAUCAAUUAAUUUAUCCUCCUAAUUUGAAUGUUUUGAAGACCAAAUGUGCCGAUACAUAGAAAAUGAUACAUAGGGUAGAGAAUUUUGGUUAACAUAUUCCUUAUUUUCUCUGCAUUUUAAUUUCUUUAAAAGUCUCAAAAUAAUAGUAGUAACUUAUUAACUUAAAAUUUUACCAUUUAUGGUUCAGAAUCAUUGACAGAUCUUAGAAAAUAUACUAAUAUAUUUUCUUAUAUCUUAUAAUCAACCAAUCUCUGUUGAUUAUAAGAGUUUAUAGAAGAAAUAUGGUAAUAAAACAUUAUCCAUUUAAGUAGAGUAACUGUAGAUGUUCAUAAUUUUUAAUAUUAUACAAGUUCCAAAAGUAUAAGAACUAGUUUAUAAAAUACUGGUGUUUAAAAUAAUCAACUAGCUGAAUACUCAUGUUUACAUUGACAUAUUCUUGAAUAUUAGUGCAAGUAAUAAUAAUUGGAAAAUUUAGAAAUUCUACCUUGUUUAUCUUUUCCAAAGAUUAAAAAUUAAAUUCAAAGUCUUUCAGAAAUUAAAUACCACAUUUGCAUUUUUACUUAUGUAAAAUCAUCUUUUAGUCAUCUUUUAACUAAAAUUCAAGGUAUAGUUUAUUUUAUCAAAGGGUUUGCCUUGAUAAAUAAUAUAAGAGCACAUAAGUUAACAUUUAAUUUCUAUUUAUUUACUUUUCCCUGCUGCAUCCUUUGUUUAGAGCCCCACCUGUAAAACCCCUAAUUGUAAGGCCAUUGUUGCAAGAGACACUGUGACAAGAUGGAGGCGGAACUCCAUUUGAUAAAGGUUGUACAGUAGCCAGAUUUGAUGGCUUUUACUUCCUUUUUUUCUCUUUCCUCCCCAGUUCCAAAUCACAGCAAAUUCUGAAAGAGCAGCUAAUUUCAAAGGUAAUCUGCUUUACCCAGCCCCACUCUUGCUCAGGGGGCUUCUGUUACACUUAUUUGAAACAAAUCCCUCAACUGAAAAGGAUCACAUGAAAUACACAUUGGCUUCUAGAACACAGUCUUCCCCCUGAAUGUGCUCAUUCUCAGGGGCACACGCUGAAGUAGAAUUCUUGGAAGCUUCUUGGUCAAACAAAACCGACAUCCUUAGGACAAACAGUGUCCAAGUUCUAAGGGAAGAAUUGCUUGAGCUGAAACAGUAGGUACUCCCAGUAGGCCCACACCACAGAAUGGGGCCACAAAAGUCCUUGUCCUGUGCCAUUGGGAAAGCUGAACUAAUUAAAAUACCAGAGACAGACUCAGCAGAAGCCAUCAUUUCUCUCUUAGAAUUAAGACAACUAAAUACUUCCAGGUAUUUCCCUAGAAAAUGAAAGAGAGAGAGAGGGCGGGGGGGAGAAGUAUUUGGGGGAUAGGCUGGUUGAGGUGGCUGUGUGCAGGAGAGGGUAGCAGAGGUCCUAAUCACAGAGAAGUUUUGAGUACAGGUUAGAAAAUACUCUGGUGUUCUUUUGAGCCAGCAGACUAAAGUGUCCAACCCUUCCCUGAAGGCUGACACUUAGCAGCUCCUCCAGGAUGUGUGGCUGCUGAGUUUGCUCAUUAGCAUUUCAUAGUCUGCAGUAAGCAAGUGCAGCCACCAGGGGGCAAGAUGCACCUUUAACCCUGGCCUUACUGAAUACCAGAGGGUCCUGGUCUGGUCCUUGAAGGUGCAUCUGGAACUUCACAUCUCAGGUCAGUACCUUGUUUCCCUUGACUUGUGAAAGAGGUGGAUCAUUAAGAUAAAAUAAGGGGAAGACACCCUGGAAGAGACUAAAACUAAGAAGCUGAAGAACAAUGUCAGUGUUCUGUGUACGUGUUGUCAUUCACCCAUAGAGUCUCCACGUACUUUAACAAGGACCAAAUGACUUUAGAAAAAGGAAACUGGAAAGGAAAUGAGGAAACGUGGGGAUUCUCAACAGAAUUCAUUGUGCUGACUCUUUUUGUGUUCAUUAAUUUAUACCUGGGUCAGGGCGUCCUGUGCCAGACCCGCCAAAGGAAAUCCCACAAUCCUCAACUUCGGGGAAGCACCUGUGUCAAAGUUACACUCAGGCCAAUUAACAGCAUGGUUCAAGGGCUUCCUUAUAUUUAUUUUAUUGAGUGUAGUUGGUAUGCUAUACCUGUGGGUUUUACAUCUGUGGAUUCAACCAGCAGCAGUUAAAAAUUCUGGGAGAAAAGAAACGAAAGGAAAGGAGGAAGGGAGAGAGGGAGAGACAGAGAUAGAAAGCAUGUGCACAUAAAAUACGAAAAAAAAUUAUGUCUGAACUGAAAGUGCACAGAUAUUUUCUAGUCAUUAUUCCCUAAAUAAUACAAUGUAACACUAUACAUAGCAUUUACAUUGUAUUAUUAUAAGCAAUCUAAAGAUGAUAAACAGUAUACAGUCAGGUAUAAUGGCACAUGCCUUAAUCCCAGAGAUUCAGGUGUCUGAAGCAGGAAGAUGGCAAGUUCAAGGCCAGUCCCAGCAAUUUAGGAGCUCUAAGCAACUUUGCAAGACCCUGUCUCAAAAUAAAAGAAUAAAAAGGACUGGGGUGAAGCAAGCCAGAGACCCCCACCCAGAAGACCCUUGCCAUAAUUAAGCUUCUCCUCUUGUCAGAUCAGCAGGGUGUCUGCAAAGCUUACUGUGGUUGAAGUUUCCUCUUUCUUGAAAAUGCCAGGUUUGCACACAAAAGGUGUGAGUUAGUCUGCAAGCUUGUUGUAAGCAAAGAUAUUAUCUCUAUUUUCUUGGUAAAAACUUGUGUUGGUCUAGAGGAUGGAAGAGAGAGCACUUGUUAUGUAAAACCUCCAAGGCCCUCCUCCCACUGGAUAUAAAGUUCAAAGAAUUUCCAAAAUCUUUGUUCAGAGAAAGAAUUCUUAGGCGAGAGCCACCUCUGAACCCUGCAGUCAAUAAACUGCUUCUUGAAAAUUCCUCAGGUGUCCAGCCUCUCCUGGCCUACUUCAGGGGGUCUGUCUGGGGUUGUAGCUUAGUGGUAGAGUGCUUGUCUAGCACAUGUUACUGAGUUCAAUCCUCAGCACCACCUAAAAAUAAAUAAAAUAAAGGUAUUGUGUCCAUCUAUAACUAAAAAUAUUUCUUUAAAAAAGGGGGGCUGGGGAUGUGGCUCUGGGUUCAAUCCCCAGUACCCCACCACCACCACAAAAUAAAAGUAUACAGCAAGAUUCAUAGGCUAGUGAAAAUGCUGCUCCAUUUUAUAGAAGGGACUUGAGCAUUUUGGGGGUCAGAGGUGGGUUCUGGAACAAUUCCCCUGCAGAUACCAAGGCAUGACUAUAAUAGAAUCCUCCAAACCUUGAUUAGAAGUCUCAGUAUUGAAGGGUUUUUUAAAAUCUUCCUAACUGCCAAUUUUGACCUAAUGUGAAUUGCACAUUAUUGGGACUGAUCUUCAUAUUUAUUUUGUAACUCAGCAGGAACGUUGAAGCUAUUAAACCAGAACUUAGGUUUUUUUUUUUUUUCCAUCUAAAAAUGUUUAGAAAAAAGGGCUUAGAUUUGAAAACAAGAAUAGUGUUUAAAUUUGUAUUAACAACUUAGUUUAUUUCUCAAGGUUAUUUACACAUUCACCAUUCUAUUUUAUUCUUAAAAGAAUAUAAAGUUUACCUUUUACCCAAAGGCUUUAAUACUCAAUUGAGUAGUUUCAUUUUUUUAUCACUUGGAAGUUUUAGUAGAAACUGUUUAAAAAACUCAUCCUUUUGAAACUAAUUUCUUUAAUCUUUUUAAAUGUCUUAACAUAAAUUAUAGAAUGCCAUUUACAGGCCAAGUUUCUUUGUAAACUCAAUGUUCUGCUAUUUGGAAGGUUUUCUUUUAUUGUUCUCUCACCCUGGAGGCCUUUUUAUAAAGUGCUGGCACAUUUGAAGCAUUGGAGGUGUGGCUUGGUUUCUUAAUUUUUCCCACAGGGAGACAUUGAGUCCCUUUAUCUUAGAUUUAUAUAAGCUCUCAGUGGUAUCUUGUAAGCAAUAUAAAUAGAAAUUUUACAGGGGUUGGUUGACAUGAUAGUUGUAUUUUCUGCAAAUCUACAGAGUAGGCCUAAUUAAUUCCAAGCUGUCUCUGAUAUCAAACUCAUUUCUUUGUCGGCAGGAUAUACAGACCAGCCCUGCAGAGCAAGCAAGCUGAAAUAUCUACUGUUUCCAAAAUCUCCUAGAAUUCCCCACCCCCAUCCUCUCCGUUCAUACCAACUCAAACCAAUGCAUCUGGACCUUUGCACAGGGCUGGGAGUCUCUCACUCAACAACAGAAGAAAUUAUUACACGACUGCAAAAUUGGAAGAUCAAACAGGAGAAUUUUUCCCUUAAGAAAAAGAAAGAAGAAAUCUUGCAGACGUCCAGAAAAAGUCACUCAAGCUUCCAGGAAGCAACAUACACAUAUUUAUCCUCUAGGGGGCAGGAGUUCUCUGUUUCUGGUGGAAAACACUUCACUGGUCCGGAGUUUUGCCUCUUGGAACUGCUAGGGAAACUUCACUUAGCUGGGUCUUAAUUUGAACAGAAAGAAAACAUUCCAGCUUCGAAUUAGAGAAAAGUCUAACCCAGAAACUAGAAGUACUCAUUCCAGAAGACAGAGGCACAAAGCUCUUUCAAUCUGCUCUGACUGCUGGUGAGCUCACAGAUGCAGCUCCACAUGUGUGCUCUCAAGAAUGCCUGGCAAAAGCCACAAGAUACAACCAUCCACGACAGCAGGAAGCAGCAUGGCAGGUUUUUGCUUCGGAUGCCCUGUUGAUGAUCUAGCCAGCUGUUCCUUGAUGCCCUUUUCUGAGCUGGUUAGAAACAUCCCAGAGAUAAGCAAGACCCAAAUAAAUUGUCUGUCACUGCCUGGGUUCUCUUUCAAAAACAGUGCCAAACACAAGGAGCUGCCUUCAGAAAACUCGUUUGGGAGAUGAUUGCAGGGUGCAAGAGUGAGGAACUUGUACUGUGCCAGCCAUUCCUGUCUGCUGGGGACUGGGGAGUUUGCUAAGAUUUGAGACUUUCACUGCUAAAAUUGGAGAAGUCUCAAAUAAAUGAGGGAUGAGUUGGUUGUGCAGGAACUGGGUGCUGUACUCAAAGGAGGUAAGCUGGGCAAGGCUGGGCUCAUGUGUUAUUAGAUCCCACAGCAUAGAGGGCACCUCAGAAUUGUAUGCCCGCAGGAUGGACGUGGGGAGAUUUGUCCACUGGUUUCCAUUCUCCAUUAGUCAGUUUUGCUCCUUGGGGGCGUUCAUUCUGCCCACACUCAGGGUUCCUGUGCCUGAGUGCCUGUGAACUCCCACAGGCAUUUCCCACUGAGGCUUCAGAGAAGCCCUGGGUGGAAAGUGAGAGAAACACAAUACAACUGAGGAAUAGCAUUGUGACACCUACACAAACCCGAUUGCUGCAGCAAUGGCAUUUGGACUGAUGGGGUGAAGUGGGCCCAAGAAGCGUCCUAUGCAUGAAGGUUAAUUUCACCUUCUUUUGGUUGGCUUAUCGUUGAGCUCAGUAUGGGAUCAUCAACCUCUGCUCUUAGCUUCCAGUUAAUUUAAAUGAAAUAAAGUUCUCAGAUUUUUUAUUUAAAUAAGAAAUCCAGCAAUGUAGUUUCAUUUCUCCUUGUGUAUAUGGAGGAAGGUGC
rnacentral:lncRNA from 1 species